UACAGAGGUCUCAAGCGUUGUUCGGAUUCAUUGGGCGUAAAGGGUGCGUAGGCGGCGCGGUAAGUCGGGUGUGAAAUCUCGGAGCUUAACUCCGAAACUGCAUUCGAUACUGCCGUGCUUGAGGACUGGAGAGGAGACUGGAAUUUACGGUGUAGCGGUGAAAUGCGUAGAUAUCGGGAGGAAUACCUGUGGCGAAGGCGGCCUACUGGGCCGGACCUGACGCUGAGACGCGAAGGCGUGGGGAGCGAACGGG
rnacentral:rRNA from 1 species